AGAGUUUGAUCCUGGCUCAGAUCGAACGCCGGCGGCAGGCCCAACACAUGCAAGUCGAGCGGUAGAGAGGAGCUUGCUCCUCUUGAGAGCGGCGGACGGGUGAGUAAUGCCUAGGAAUCUGCCUGGUAGUGGGGGAUAACGUUCGGAAACGGACGCUAAUACCGCAUACGUCCUACGGGAGAAAGCAGGGGACCUUCGGGCCUUGCGCUAUCAGAUGAGCCUAGGUCGGAUUAGCUAGUUGGUGAGGUAAUGGCUCACCAAGGCGACGAUCCGUAACUGGUCUGAGAGGAUGAUCAGUCACACUGGAACUGAGACACGGUCCAGACUCCUACGGGAGGCAGCAGUGGGGAAUAUUGGACAAUGGGCGAAAGCCUGAUCCAGCCAUGCCGCGUGUGUGAAGAAGGUCUUCGGAUUGUAAAGCACUUUAAGUUGGGAGGAAGGGCAGUAAAUUAAUACUUUGCUGUUUUGACGUUACCGACAGAAUAAGCACCGGCUAACUCUGUGCCAGCAGCCGCGGUAAUACAGAGGGUGCAAGCGUUAAUCGGAAUUACUGGGCGUAAAGCGCGCGUAGGUGGUUUGUUAAGUUGGAUGUGAAAUCCCCGGGCUCAACCUGGGAACUGCAUUCAAAACUGACUGACUAGAGUAUGGUAGAGGGUGGUGGAAUUUCCUGUGUAGCGGUGAAAUGCGUAGAUAUAGGAAGGAACACCAGUGGCGAAGGCGACCACCUGGACUAAUACUGACACUGAGGUGCGAAAGCGUGGGGAGCAGACAGGAUUAGAUACCCUGGUAGUCCACGCCGUAAACGAUGUCAACUAGCCGUUGGAAGCCUUGAGCUUUUAGUGGCGCAGCUAACGCAUUAAGUUGACCGCCUGGGGAGUACGGCCGCAAGGUUAAAACUCAAAUGAAUUGACGGGGGCCCGCACAAGCGGUGGAGCAUGUGGUUUAAUUCGAAGCAACGCGAAGAACCUUACCAGGCCUUGACAUCCAAUGAACUUUCUAGAGAUAGAUUGGUGCCUUCGGGAGCAUUGAGACAGGUGCUGCAUGGCUGUCGUCAGCUCGUGUCGUGAGAUGUUGGGUUAAGUCCCGUAACGAGCGCAACCCUUGUCCUUAGUUACCAGCACGUAAUGGUGGGCACUCUAAGGAGACUGCCGGUGACAAACCGGAGGAAGGUGGGGAUGACGUCAAGUCAUCAUGGCCCUUACGGCCUGGGCUACACACGUGCUACAAUGGUCGGUACAGAGGGUUGCCAAGCCGCGAGGUGGAGCUAAUCCCACAAAACCGAUCGUAGUCCGGAUCGCAGUCUGCAACUCGACUGCGUGAAGUCGGAAUCGCUAGUAAUCGCGAAUCAGAAUGUCGCGGUGAAUACGUUCCCGGGCCU
rnacentral:rRNA from 1 species